AGCGAACGCUGGCGGCAGGCCUAACACAUGCAAGUCGAACGAAGCCUUCGGGCUUAGUGGCGGACGGGUGAGUAACACGUGGGAACGUACCUUUUGGUUCGGAACAACUCAGGGAAACUUGAGCUAAUACCGGAUGAGCCCUUAGGGGGAAAGAUUUAUCGCCGAAAGAGCGGCCUGCGUUAGAUUAGCUAGUUGGUGAGGUAAAGGCUCACCAAGGCAACGAUCUAUAACUGGUCUGAGAGGAUGAUCAGCCACACUGGGACUGAGACACGGCCCAGACUCCUACGGGAGGCAGCAGUGGGGAAUCUUGCGCUAUGGGCGAAAGCCUGACGCAGCCAUGCCGCGUGAAUGAUGAAGGUCUUAGGAUUGUAAAAUUCUUUUACCAGGGACGAUAAUGACGGUACCUGGAGAAAAAGCCCCGGCUAACUUCGUGCCAGCCGCCGCAGUAACAC
rnacentral:rRNA from 1 species